rnacentral:rRNA from 1 species
UACGUAGGGUGCAAGCGUUGCCCGGAUUCAUUGGGCGUAAAGCGCGCGCAGGCGGCCUUCCAAGUCCAGCGUGAAAUCGCCCGGCUCAACCGGGCGGGGUCGCGGGAGACUGGGGGGCUCGAGCGAGGGAGGGGGCAGUGGAAUUCCCGGUGUAGUGGUGGAAUGCGUAGAUAUCGUGAGGAACACCAGAGGCGAAGGCGACUUCCUGGACAAUUGCUGACGCUCAGGCACGAAAGCGUGGGGAGCAAAAGGG